rnacentral:pre_miRNA from 1 species
CAAAUACUCCCUCCGUCCCAAAAUUCUUGUCUUAUAUUUGUCUAAAUACGGAUGUAUCAAGUCAUAUUUUAGUAUUAGAUACAUCCGUAUCAAGACAAAUCUAAGACAAGAAUUUUGGGACGGGGGGAGUAUAAA